rnacentral:rRNA from 1 species
GCAAGUCGAGCGAGAACGCCUCCUUCGGGAGGUUAGUAAAGCGGCGAACGGGUGAGUAACACGUGAGCGAUCUACCCGACGGCGGGGGAUAACCCAGGGAAACCUGGGCUAAUACCGCAUACAGCACCGGCUUGGAAGCCGGAUGUGAAAGCUGGCCUCUCGAAGAAGCUGGCACCAUCGGAUGAGCUCGCGGCCUAUCAGCUAGUUGGUGGGGUAACGGCCUACCAAGGCAACGAUCCGUAGCUGGUCUGAGAGGACGACC